rnacentral:tRNA from 2 species
GUAAAUAUAGUUUAAACAAAACAUUAGAUUGUGAAUCUAAUAAUAGAAGAUAAUAUCCUCUUAUUUACC